rnacentral:rRNA from 1 species
AAAAAAAACCAGAAAAGAAAUGC